rnacentral:rRNA from 1 species
GACGAACCGAGCGAACGUUGUUCGGAAUCACUGGGCUUAAAGGGCGCGUAGGCGGGUGCUCAAGUCUGUGGUGAAAUCCUCCGGCUCAACCGGAGAACUGUCAUGGAUACUGGGUGCCUCGAGGGUGGUAGGGGUAUGCGGAACUAUCGGUGGAGCGGUGAAAUGCGUUGAUAUCGAUAGGAACUCCGGUGGCGAAGGCGGCAUACUGGACCACUUCUGACGCUGAGGCGCGAAAGCCAGGGGAGCAAACGGG